CCAGAUCAGGUACCAAACUCAAGUCUUUAGCGUCCAUUCCUCGAUGGUAAUCGGUAUUCUCCAUGGCUUUAAACUUUUCCUCUAGCCAUCUACACCGGUCUUCUAGUUGUUUUGGCAAGUCUACUCUUGCCUUUUCUAUUUCUGCUAUAUCAUCAGGUCGGGAACCACGGGAUUGGUACGGUUAUCCCCAGGAUUAAAACCCGAGCCCAUUGGAAAAUUCAUCGAUACCUGGGCACCGACCUGGUAUUGAGACCUAAUGGUAAUAGGUACUCUCUGUGGGUACAC
rnacentral:lncRNA from 1 species